UUUAAGUAUAUGAGGUGAUUAAUUGGAGGGCAAACAAGUGCCAGCAGCCGCGGUAAUACUUGUUCCAAGAUGUGUAUGAUGAUUGAUGCAGUUAAAAAGUCGUAGUUUAUUUUUUUAAAACAUUAGGGUAGAUAUGGAAAAUAAGGACACA
rnacentral:rRNA from 1 species